GGUGCAGGCGGUCUUGUAAGUCGGAUGUAAAAUCUCCUGGCUUAACUGGGAGGGACCAUUCGAUACUGCAGGACUAGAGUGCAGCAGGGGGAGGUGGAAUUCCCGGUGUAGUGGUGAAAUGCGUAGAUAUCGGGAGGAACACCAGUGGCGAAGGCGGCCUCCUGGGCUGUUACUGACGCUGAGGCCCGAAAGCGUGGGGAGCAAACAGGAUUAGAUACCCUGGUAGUCCACGCUGUAAACUAUGGACACUAGGUAUGGGGGGUAUCGACCCCCUCUGUGCCGAAGUUAACGCUUUAAGUGUCCCGCCUGGGGAGUACGGUCGCAAGACUAAA
rnacentral:rRNA from 1 species